rnacentral:tRNA from 1 species
UGCGGAUAUGGCGGAAUUGGCAGACGCGCAAGAUUCAGAUUCUUGUCCCAUUACUGGCGGUGCAGGUUCAAGUCCUGUUAUCCGCAU